AGUCAAUUAAAGAAGUCAAAAUAUAAAUAUUCAUCUCUGUACUCUCUGCUGCUUCUAGGGAUAUUGUUUCAAGAUAGUGUUAUUUUGUUGGACAGUCUGUUCCUCAACGUUGUCUUCAUCCUCUUCAGGGUUGAAAACCCCCUCUCAUAAUAACUUUUGCUUAUACCCCCCUUAACAAAAGUUACAUUUCUAAGCCAUGAAAACUCAAUCAGCCACUUGUCACUGAAACCAGAAACAUGGUGAUUGCUGUUAUCACUUGCUAAAACUUUAGCUCAGUUGGGAUUAGGAGAAGCAAUUAUAACAUCUGCUUAUACUGACAGCUGAGUGUAGAGGGAGGUGUAUUAAUUCCCCUUUUCAUUAGAAGUCAUUGAUCUGGAAAAAAACCUUCUACUUCCAUCAUCUGUCUUUUGCUUAGAAUUCACCCUUUGUUAUUUGCAGAGAACAUGUUCAUUCAGAAUUAAUAAAAUCGAAUAUGGUUAAGAUAGUUGGUAUACAACUUUUUAAAACAAAACUAUUUUAAUGAACAGUUGACAAGUUUCCGUAGUUUGACAUUUAUUUACGCUUCCGUGUGCAUUAUUGUUAAAACCUAUCUUUGGCAGGUAGAUAUAAACCAAACUUCGUUAAAGUUAAGACCAUUGGAAUUAUUUACUAGUGACAUUAUACAGAAGCCGCGGCGAUUCCGUACCCGUGUUGAUUGUCACAUAAAAUGUUCCCGACGCACGGACUCACGAUCGAUGUUCAAUGAUCAUUUUAUUUCUAAAAAUAUGUCAGUUUGAAACGAAUUUACCUUGCAAGCAACAUUUUUCACUUUCAAUUAAAAUAAAUCACUUCUCGUAAUCUUUAAUCAAAGUUUAUUUUAAUUUUUUCAACUACAAAUACUCUCAUU
rnacentral:lncRNA from 1 species